AGCGAACGCUGGCGGCAGGCCUAACACAUGCAAGUCGAGCGCCCCGCAAGGGGAGCGGCAGACGGGAGAGUAACACGCGGGCACGUACCCUUCAGUUCGGAACAACCCAGGGAAACUUGGGCUAAUACCGGAUGCGUCCGCAAGGAGAAAGAUUUAUCGCUGAAGGAUCGGCCCGCGUCCGAUUAGCUAGUGGGUGAGGUAACGGCUCACCAAGGCUGCGAUCGAUAGCUGGCCUGAGAGGAUGAUCAGCCACACUGGGACUGAGACACGGCCCAGACUCCUACGGGAGGCAGCAGUGGGGAAUAUUGGACAAUGGGCGCAAGCCUGAUCCAGCAAUGCCGCGUGGAUGAAGAAGGUUUUCGGAUUGCAAAGUCCUUGCGGCGGGGACGAUGAUGACGGUACCCGCAGAAGAAGCUCCGGCUAACUUCGUGCCAGCCGCCGCCGUAAAAC
rnacentral:rRNA from 1 species